AUAAGUAUAAACCAAACACCAACUAACACCAUAAUUAUGGCCAUAACUGAUCCACAUGGUGGGUUGUUGUGAGGACCGGCUAGGUGUCAAAAAACAAUCGGCCUCCCAUGCCAACCUUGGUCGACCACCGAAAGCACCAAUGGUUGUGAUGUCGUGCCUAUAUUUGGAGGGUCGAAUGAUGGGCUAAAUUCAGUUAAGAGCUUUUUUCUUUUUGUUAGGAUCUGUAGAUCCCAACGUAUCCCUACGAAGAACCCAAAGUAUCUUGAUGGAGCAUGACCGGGUCAACAGCACGUGCACACCUGCAGAAUCGAUCUCACUUAUCCACCUCCAAAUAGAAUCGGUCUUACUUAUCCACCUCCAACUGAAAAACCACUCCACUCCACAGCAGCAACUCCCCACAACGGAAGUGACCCACAAUCUAUAUCCUUUAUUUUUCAUGCCAUAAAUGUAGGAAUUUACCAUUAUCUUGUAAUCUCUUAUUGGCUAUUUAAAGCCUAGAACUUUAAAUGGAAAGUAAGUAAAAUAGAAAUCAAAUUAUGGUUUCUUUCUCACCUCAAGCAGAAAGUCCUUUCUUAUUUUCUUCAAGCCUUAAUUGGGACCAAACAUUGGUAUCAGAGCCAGGUUACUAUGACGACAAACAAGGAACGGAUUGAGAACUUGGAGGCUGGGCCUUUUAGAGUGCAAGAUCAUUUAAGCUAAAUGGAAACCAGAAUGGUCGACCGAUUUCGGCGCUUGAAGAAUCCAUUUAAUGACUCACCAACUCCAUCGCAUCUGGUAGAGAAAGCUCCAGUAGCCACCAUCCCCUUCGUCUCAG
rnacentral:lncRNA from 1 species